rnacentral:rRNA from 1 species
UCCUACGGGGCGCAGCAGUGGGGAAUAUUGCACAAUGGGGGGAACCCUGAUGCAGCGACGCCGCGUGAGUGAAGAAGUAUUUCGGUAUGUAAAGCUCUAUCAGCAGGGAAGAAAAUGACGGUACCUGACUAAGAAGCCCCGGCUAACUACGUGCCAGCAGCCGCGGUAAUACGUAGGGAGCAAGCGUUAUCCGGAUUUACUGGGUGUAAAGGGCGUGUAGGCGGGCCUGCAAGUCAGAAGUGAAAUCUGGGGGCUUAACCCCUAAACUGCUUUUGAAACUGUGGGUCUUGAGUGAUGGAGAGGCG